rnacentral:snoRNA from 1 species
GGCAGCGCAUGCUUUUAUUAGAGGGUCUUCCUAGUGGCCCUUUAAGCUAGCGCGCGCUGCCCAGAGAAACUUCAACACGAAGCAGACGUUCAGACAUAGUCGAAGCGAUCAUAAUCCACGCUCGAUUAUAUCACUCAACGUCUGACA